rnacentral:lncRNA from 10 species
GCCACGCCCCCGGCGCCUGCCAUGACGGAGUCGGGCAAUUCCGGGUUCGUGACACUUUCCUCACACCGAUCGCGACGGUGGAUGGGCCGGCGGCCAUCUUAGGUACUGGUAGAGCGACUCAUUUCCGGAACGCGGUCUUGGGAGCCGGAAGAGAAGCUUCCGGCCUCGGCGCCGGAUGUGUAGCUGGCGGAAGGAGCCGGCGGCUUUUCGGCGCCCGGUAGUGACCGGCAGUCCCCGGGUAGCCAGGGUGUCUGGGUGUUGGGACCGCUUAGUCGCGAGACCCCAGCAAACCUCUUGGCGUCUCUGAGCCUCAGCUUUUGCUUCUGUAGAAUAGGGUGUACUCAUCGUACAUUUCAUGGGAAUACCUAACGCAGUCAUUUGGAUGGUCCUGUGAGGUAGAAAACAUUGUCCAACGUUCUACGCGAGGAAAUGUGGCUGGGCCACAGGACUGGACUCCCCAGUCCCGCUUUUGCCUGAAGACUUCGAGGGACGCAGUUGGAGCGCAAGGCUCCUGCUUGGCGGCAACAGCACCUGGGCAGACCAUGCCAUUUCCCCUCCUGAACUCGGGUGCUUUGAAAGAAGUAUAGGGGGCCGGUCGCGGUGGCUCCCGCCUGUAAUCCCAGCACUUUGGGAGGCCGAGAUGGCCGGAUCACCUGAGGCUAGAAGUUCAAGACCAGCCUGGCCAACAUGGUGAAACCCCGUCUCUACUAAAAAUACAAAAAUUAGUUGGAUGUGGUGGCGUGUGCCUGUAAUCUCAGCUACUUGGGAGGCUGAAGCUGGAGAACUGCAUCAAUCCAGGAGGUGGGGCUGCAGUGAGCUGAGAUCCUGCCACUGCACUCCAGCCUGGGUGACAGCAAGACUCCGUCUCAAAAAGAAAAAAGAAACAAAUAUGGGGACGAACAGUGGGAAUGCAGAGGAGAGGGUUCCCAUCUGAGGAGGCUGGAAGAAAAGAAGGCUGGAAAAGAACCAUGAGAAACACAUGUCUGUCGUUUAAGCUAUACAGCCUAUGGUAUUUUGUCAUGGCAGUCUGAGCCAAGAGAGGGAGCAAUUUAAUUAGAUGUGUUAUGCUCUUCUAUCUAGGUCCCAUAUAGAUUGCCAACACUGUUAGUGCUUUCUCCUUUUGUGUUAAAAAGGAAAGAUAGAGGAAGGGAGGGAAGAAGGAAGGAUGGAGAAGAGAACAGAAAAGUAAAAUGAAAAUGUCUUCUAACCAUAUUGAAAAGCUAUCCAGGGCCGGGCACGGUGGCUCACGCCUGUAAUCCCAGCACUGUGGGAGGAUGAGGCGGGCGGAUCACAAGGUCAGGAGAUCGAGACCAUCCUGGCCAAUAUGGUGAAACCCUGUCUCUACUAAAAAUACAAAAAUUAGCCGGGCGUGGUGGCAGGCACCUGUAGUCCCAGCUACUUGGGAGGCUGAGGCAGGAGAAUAGCUUGAACCCAGGAGGCAGAGGUUACAGUGAGCUGAGAUUGUGCCACUGCACUCCAACCUGGGCGAUAGAGUGAGACUCCGUCUGGAAAAAAAAGAAAAAGAAAAGUAUCCAGAAACAGGGUGGAAAAGCAUUGGUAAUUGUGGAGUACCAAGUAAUGAGUUCUUACUCUACUCUUGCUAUUUUUAUGUGUGUUCGGAAUUUUCCUUACUAAGAAAGUAUGUGAUACCAUGCGUUGCCACGAUAUGGCAUGGCAUGAUGAGAAGGCACUUCACCUCUGUGGCGUUUCCCCCCAACCCAUAAGCCCUUUCUAAUCAUUAGAAAACAUUAAACAAACCCAAAUUGAGGGACAAUUCACACAGUUCACACAGUUCAUACUGAGACACGGACCAGGAGAAGGAAGGAUCUGGGGGAACGGGAGACUGACCCAGUCUAACCAGGACUUCAAAACUGCCAUGGUCAUGGAAGACAAGGAUAAACUGAAGAAGUGUCACAGAUCAGGGAACCCUAAGGAGACAUGAUGACUCAAUGCAAUGUGGGAUCUUGGAUUGGAUCCUGGAACAGAAACAGACAUUGAUGGGAAAACAGGUAAAAUCCAAAUAAAACCUAAAGUUUAGUUAAUAGUAGUGUACUAAUGUAAGUUGUUUUGUUUGGGCAUGUGCCAGUUAUGUGUAUUCACUUUGGGGGCGGCUGGUGAAGAGCACAUAGGAACUCUGUACUACCUUUACAACAUUUGUGUAAAUCUAAUCCCAAAAUAAAAAGUUCAUUUACAGAAAAAGAAGACACUCAUUGUUCAGCUCCUUUCAUAAUUAAUUGAAAUUCAAAUAAUGAAGUGUCGGCCAGGCACAGUGGCUCACGCCUGUAAUCCCAACACUUUGGGAGGCCCAGGUGAGUGGAUCGCUUGAAGUCAGGAGUUCAAG